AACAGAAAAAUGCAAACACUGUUUUUUGAAUUCAUUGUAUUCUGUUUUUAUUAUAUUCCAAUUUACAGAGCAUUCUCUUUAGCGUUAAACAACUUGAUCAGCAUAUAUUUCUACCGAAAUUGAGAAACUGAUAAGAAAAUAUAUUCAUACUUACUCUAAUUUUAUAUUCCGUGCUAUAAUCUAUGGCAGUAUUUACUAAUGAUUUCAUUUGUCCAAUUACAGGCGUUAGAACAGGAAAACAAACUAAACGUAGAAGGAAUUCUGAUCACGUGAUCACCAGUCUCGUCACCAAGCUACGAAGACAAUCACUGGAAAAAAGAGUAGGUAAACUACAUUCUUCCAUGGAAAAUUGCCAGGAAAAAAAAAGUUACGUUAAGUAUGAAUAGAUUUCCUCUUUUCCUGACUAAUCGUAAUGUGGAAUACUAAAGUUAAUAAUGUUGUUUAAAUAAAUGUAACUAGGUCCAAGUGCUAGCUCUGAAGAUAGUGUUUGGUGACGUGUUAUCCACAGGAGCUCUUCAUGCACAGAACACUUGUAUGUAAUAAGCCUGUAAUCCUUCCAGAACAAUAGAAAACUGUGUCUGGUAUGCGCUAUAAGGAGCCCUAACUACAUCCAAUGUGUACCAUGUUUGUUCCUCUGCAAACAAGGAAAAGGAAAGAAAGAUGGCAAUGCUAAUUCCUAAUUCUAGUGCAAUCUUGGCACAGGUUUUGUGUUUUAUAAAGGAGGAUGAGGUUUCAAGUGACUUCAACACAGUGACAAUAAAUGGCCUAGAUUCACUAGAGCCUUCUGCUCAACCUCAGGACCUUUAAUAAUUUUAUUUAAUUGUAUAAGUCACAAAUGCAUUAUCUACAUACUGCAUGAAACUCAGGGUGCAACGUUUUAAUAUUGUAGUGCAAAAUAACAAUACAUGUAUGUCAUAUUCACUUGAAAAGAUGGAUUGUAGCAAAAACGUUUCAACUCAUCUAUAGUUACUGUUUCUCUAUCUUUAUAUCUGGGUCUAUUUAAAAUAAAAAUGGGUAUUAAGUUAAAGGUUCUCUUGAAGCACAACAACUACUUCAGUGUUUAGAAAUGAUCAUGGUGCAAGGAGUAUAUAAAUAAUACUGAAGACAUAUGCAUGUUUUCAGGAUAUAUUUGCGCUACCUGUUGGAGGGCUGGCUAAUGUCCAUUCUGCGCAUAUUUCUGUACACAAUCGCUAGUUCACUGACUGAGAUCACUUAUCUGACGCUCUCAGUCAGUAAAUGAAUAGCAGGAUCAGCUUCUGCUGCCCUGUAGAAGCUGGAUGCUGCUCGGCCUCCAUCCUGGGAGCCAGUGGGGCCUGUUACAAAACAGUUUGCCCCAUUACUUAAUGGAGUUAAUGGGGACAGUAGUGAUUGUGAUUAUGAUGUUUAGAGUAACCAUUUAAAGCUAGGGUGGGCAAAUGGUGGCCUAUCAAGCCCUUGUAAGACUACAUCUCUCGUCAGCCAUUUAGUAACCUUUGCUCUAUCUCACUCACCCCUCUGUUCUUUAGGCUAAAAAAGCAUUAAAGGACCACUAUAGUGCCAGGAAAAUAAACUAAUUUUCCUGGCACUAUAGGGUCUUUAGGCACCCGUCAGGGUCCCUCUCUCGCCGGGCUCAAGGGGGAGGAAGGGGUUAAACUAUUACCUUUCUUGGCGCUGGGGAACUCUCCUCCCUCUUUCGAUGGUCAGUCUGUCUUGGAUUAACUGUGAUUUUCAGUGAGAAGCGUGGAAGCCCUCUAGCGGCUGUCAAUGAGACAGCCACUAGAGGCUCUAGUAACCAGGGCUCGAGUCCUGCAGGAACGCAUGGGAGCGGCGUUCCUGCCCUUUUUCCAUAGCAGGAACGCCGUUCCCGUUACCUGUCCUGCAGGACCGGCCCUGCUACCUGCACAGAGGGGCCAGCACACGCUGUGUUCCCUCUCCACCUAUAACUCUCGCGAGACCCGCGGCUGUUACCAUGGCAACGCUCCGCACAGGCGAGUCUCGCGAGAGUUAGAGCUGGAGAGGGAACACAGCGUGUGAUGGCCCCUCUGUGCAGCGGCUGGCUCCCUCCAGCAUACCACCAGGCGAUCUCCCCCCUCCCUGACAAGGUAAGAAGCAGGGAGGGGGGAAUAAAAUAAAAAAAAAAUAUAGACACAUAAAGUAAGAAAAUGCUUACCCCCCCCACAUCAUCCAGCACUCACUCACACACCCAUCAUCCAGCACACACACACACAUCAUCCAGCACACACACACACCCAUCAUCCAGCACACACACACACACAUCAUCCAGCACUCACACACCCAUCAUCCAGCACCCACACACCCAUCAUCCAGCACACACACACACCCAUCAUCCAGCACACACACACACAUCAUCCCAGCACCACACCCAUCAUCCAGCACUCACACACCCAUCAUCCAGCACUCACACACA
rnacentral:lncRNA from 1 species